AGUUUGAUCCUGGCUCAGAAUGAACGCUGGCGGCGUGCUUUACACAUGCAAGUCGAGCGAGGCGGCCCGCAAGGGUCAGUCGAGCGGCGAACGGGUGAGUAACGCGUGGAUAACCUGCCCUGAGGUGUGGAACAACCGGGGGAAACUCCGGCUAAUACCGCAUGAUACCGAGAGGUCAAAGGAGGCGCCCGCAAGGGGGCUUCCGCCAUAGGAGGGGUCCGCGUUCGAUUAGCUAGUUGGCAGGGUAAUGGCCUACCAAGGCGACGAUCGAUAGCCGGCCUGAGAGGGUGAUCGGCCACACUGGAACUGAGACACGGUCCAGACUCCUACGGGAGGCAGCAGUGGGGAAUUUUGCGCAAUGGGCUAACGCCUGACGCAGCAACGCCGCGUGGAGGAUGAAGGUCUUUGGAUUGUAAACUCCUGUCAGCAGGGAAAAAGGGAAGGGGCUUAAUACGCUUCUGACUUGAUUGUACCUGCAGAGGAAGCCCCGGCUAACUCUGUGUCAGCAGCCGCGGUAA
rnacentral:rRNA from 1 species